GGUGAGGUGGCCGAGUGGUUAAGGCGAUGGACUGCUAAUCCAUUGUGCUCUGCACGCGCGUGUUCGAAUUCCAUCCUUGUCG